UACGAAGGGGGCUAGCGUUGCUCGGAAUCACUGGGCGUAAAGCGCACGUAGGCGGCUCUUUAAGUCAGGGGUGAAAUCCUGGAGCUCAACUCCAGAACUGCCUUUGAUACUGAGGGGCUUGAGUCCGGGAGAGGUGAGUGGAACUGCGAGUGUAGAGGUGAAAUUCGUAGAUAUUCGCAAGAACACCAGUGGCGAAGGCGGCUCACUGGCCCGGUACUGACGCUGAGGUGCGAAAGCGUGGGGAGCAAACGGG
rnacentral:rRNA from 1 species